AAAAGAUUGGUAAAGUAUUAAAUAACUAACGAUAGAAUUAUACCACGAUUGUUUGCCGUUUUUGUUUUUAGAGAUCUUCUUUUUUGGUGUAUAAGAUGAUUAUCUUCGUUCUUAUCAAUAUUUAAAUUUGAUGGUGUUGACUGCUUGCUAGUUCGAGCUACCUUUGAUCUUGACCUUCUAUUGUAAAUCCUGCAAUUUAUUUUCUUAAUUAGUUGAUAUUGUCAUAUAAUUUUUGAUAUAAUAUAAUAAAAAUUGAGAUUGAAAUACUCAAUAUAAUAUAAUAAAAGUACUCACCAAUUUCUAAGCUGCGUAGUUGUAAUUUCAGGACCCUAUAUUUUGUAAAACUAUGUUAGACAAUAAAAAUUUAAAAAUAAUUACGACGUCUACGUACUACUCAUAGAUGUGAAUGUAGUUGGAGACAUGGAAUUAAGCGGAGUUAUAUGUAAAGCAUAAUAUGAGUAUUUUACUUACACAUUGUUUUAGUUUGUCUAUCCAUGUAUGAAGCGUAGUUAGAUCCAACCGUUUAUGAGGUUGAUCUAUAAGUAUCUUCUCCAUCAUAGCAAUUUGC
rnacentral:lncRNA from 1 species